rnacentral:tRNA from 1 species
AUUACUUUGGCAGAGUAGUGCGAUAAAUUUAGGGUUUAUAUACAUUAUUGAUUUUAAAUAAUAAGUAAUA